GUCUAGAAUGCGCGCCAGCAGGUCAAAUUCCCCUGAGCCGAUACUUAAAUCUUCGGAUUGUGUUCUGCAUAUUUAGAGCGUAUGCCUACCUUGAGUAGGAAACCCAGCAAGUAUGCGUCGCGUCCACCUUGAACUCUUCGGGUUCAAGGGCUAUGAUCCGCAGCGGCAUUUCUGGAUU
rnacentral:other from 1 species